rnacentral:rRNA from 1 species
UACAGAGGUCCCAAGCGUUGUUCGGAUUCACUGGGCGUAAAGGGUGCGUAGGCGGUCGGGUAAGUCUGAUGUGAAAUCUCCAAGCUCAACUUGGAAAUGGCAUCGGAUACUAUUCGGCUCGAGGAAUGGAGGGGAGACUGGAAUACUUGGUGUAGCAGUGAAAUGCGUAGAUAUCAAGUGGAACACCAGUGGCGAAGGCGAGUCCCUGGACAACUCCUGACACUGAGGCACGAAAGCUAGGGGAGCAAACAGG